AGCGGACGCUGGCGGCAGGCCUAACACAUGCAAGUCGAACGAACCCUUCGGGGUUAGUGGCGGACGGGUGAGUAACACGUGGGAACGUGCCUUUAGGUUCGGAAUAACUCAGAGAAACUUGUGCUAAUACCGAAUGUGCCCUUCGGGGGAAAGAUUUAUCGCCUUUAGAGCGGCCCGCGUCUGAUUAGCUAGUUGGUGAGGUAAUGGCUCACCAAGGCUACGAUCAGUAGCUGGUCUGAGAGGAUGACCAGCCACAUUGGGACUGAGACACGGCCCAAACUCCUACGGGAGGCAGCAGUGGGGAAUCUUGCGCAAUGGGCGGAAGCCUGACGCAGCCAUGCCGCGUGGAUGAUGAAGGUCUUAGGAUUGUAAAAUCCUUUCACCGGUGAAGAUAAUGACUGUAGCCGGAGAAGAAGCCCCGGCUAACUUCGUGCCAGCCGCCGCCGUAACAC
rnacentral:rRNA from 1 species